UAUAAUUAGUAAUGUAACAAAAGUUAGUAUAGGAGAUUCAUACAGUGUAACAUGUAGAUCUCAAUACAAUCGAGUUGAUUUCUAUAGAAACGAUACACUCAUAGUUAGACCAACACGUCGUCAUGGUGAGGCACCUUGUAGGGUAAACGACAGCACCAUGAAUGAAUUCAACUGUACCAUAACCCCAUAUGGCAACCGUACUUUUGAACAUCUGUUAAUUAUUCUAUCUGCUAACCGUACUGGUACAACUCAAUGGCAGUGUAAACAUACAAAUACCAGAUUUGUUUCAAACAAUGUCUCCAUAACAAUAACAACUAAAGAUCAAACACAGAAAAAUGCUGAAAACACGACCACUGGUGGCCAAAUGGAAAAUAUUGCUGAUUCAAAUAUUACAUUAUUUGCUGUAAUUGGAGCUGGUUGCCUGUUUGGUUUGUUGUUUAUUGGAUGUUUUAUUUACGUAGCCAGUCGCCAUAGACAACAGAACACAGAACCAAGAGAGAAAACUGAGAAUUCAGACCCAGUGGUUGAGGAAAGUAAGAUGUACCCGAGUGUAAAUACGAUGGCGAUGGGUGGAGAUUACGAGGCUAUGGAUGAUUUACCCGCCUGGAAUGAUAACAGAGAUAACUCAAACAAGACUGGUGCUUAUGAUCCUAAUAAAAUUUAUGGUGUAGUCAAUAAAAACACCAACAAAGGUAAUUUAUUUUUU